GUCGAUGGGUGAAAGGCGUGGGGGUGGGUCAACGGGGGUGCAGAUCAGUGGAAGGCCAAGAAAAAAGGAGGGAAAAGAGAGGAAGGCAUGGUUGAGGGUUGGUUGGUAAGGAAAGGGGGCGACAAAGAGGGGUUUUGGUUCGAAGGUGGGUCAGCGUGGUUAGUGAUUGGAGGGCAUGAGGGUCAGGGUGGCGAGGGGAAGAGUGGAGGGCGACGGGCAUGGGUGGUCGAUGAGGGAGGAAGAGAGGAGGAAAGGAGAAAAGAGGGAUAGGUCGUGGGGGUGGUGGUACAAUAGAACGGUGGUCGAUUUGGGGAGGAGAAAGGACGGUCGGAGUUGAACCGAGUUGCAGGGGAAAGUUGACGGCGACUAGGUGUUUAGGGGUGGGAAAAGGACAAAGUAAAAGAAAAGACUAGGGUUUGGGGUUAAAAAGGUAACAUAAUCAUGUGAGGCUCGUG
rnacentral:lncRNA from 1 species